rnacentral:misc_RNA from 1 species
AACGCACAUUGCGCCCCACGGUAUUCCGCGGGGCAUGCCUGUUCGAGCGUCAUAUCAACCCUCAAGCCCCAGGCUUGGUGUUGGGGAAGCCACGGUGACGUGGGCCCCUAAAUGCAGUGGCGGUCCCGACCGCGGGCCCGAGCGUAGUAGAAUGCCUCGCCGGGAGCCGCGCGCGGGCGCCUGCCGUAAAAGCAGUCGUCUUCCCACAGGGGGGGCGCACACUUACUAGGUUGACCUCGAAUCAGGUAGGAAUACCCGCUGAACUUAA